CGGGUGAGUAACACGUGAGUAACCUGCCCUUGACUCUGGGAUAAGCCUGGGAAACUGGGUCUAAUACCGGAUACGACUAUCUGACGCAUGUCAUGGUGGUGGAAAGCUUUUGCGGUUUUGGAUGGACUCGCGGCCUAUCAGCUUGUUGGUGGGGUAAUGGCCUACCAAGGCGACGACGGGUAGCCGGCCUGAGAGGGUGACCGGCCACACUGGGACUGAGCACGGCCCAG
rnacentral:rRNA from 1 species